AACGAACGCUGGCGGCGCGCCUAAUACAUGCAAGUCGAGCGAGAAGACGUAGCAAUACGUUUGUAAAGCGGCGAACGGGUGAGGAAUACAUGGGUAACCUACCCUCGAGUGGGGAAUAACUAGCCGAAAGGUUAGCUAAUACCGCGUACGCUCCUUGGACUUCGGUUCAGGGAGGAAAGCGAUACCGUGGGUAUCGCGCUCUUGGAUGGGCUCAUGUCCUAUCAGCUUGUUGGUGAGGAACGGCUCACCAAGGCUUCGACGGGUAGCUGGUCUGAGAGGACGAUCAGCCACACUGGCACUGCGACACGGGCCAGACUCCUACGGGAGGCAGCAGUAAGGAAUAUUGCGCAAUGGGCGAAAGCCUGACGCAGCGACGCCGCGUGGGGGAUGAAGGUCUUCGGAUUGUAAACCCCUUUCUACGCUCCGACGAAGCGAGAGUGACGGUAGGAGCAGAAGAAGCACCGGCCAACUACGUGCCAG
rnacentral:rRNA from 1 species